UGAAUACGAGACGCUAAGGCGUCGAAGUAGUGUAUGUCAUACUUCCAAGAAAAGCUUGCACUGUCAUAGAUAAAAAACGCCUGUACCAUAACCGACACAGGUGGGUAGGUAGAGUAUACUAAGGGGCGCGAGAUAACUCUCUCUAAGGAACUCGGCAAAAUAACUCCGUAACUUCGGGAGAAGGAGUGCCUUAUUCGUAAGGUUGCAAUAACAAGAUCCAAGCAACUGUUUAUCAAAAACACAGGUCUCCGCUAAGUCGUAAGACGAUGUAUGGGGGCUGACGCCUGCCCAGUGCCAGAAGGUUAAAGAAGUUGGUUAGCAAUUGCGAAGCUGAUAACCGAAGCCCUGGUGAACGGCGGCCGUAACAAUAACGGUCCUAAGGUAGCGAAAUUCCUUGUCGGGUAAGUUCCGACCCGCACGAAAGGCGUAAUGAUUUGGAUACUGUCUCGGAGAGGGGCUCGGUGAAAUAGACUUGUCUGUGAAGAUGCGGACUACCUGCACCAGGACAGAAAGACCCUAUGAAGCUUUACUGUAACUUGAAAUUGAAAUUGGACUUUAUUCGCGCAGUAUAGGUGGGAGGCGUUGAUUAUAAUCUUGUGGGAUUAUUGGAGCCACCAGUGAGAUACCACUCUUGUAAUGUUAGAUUUCUAACUUUGAAUCAUUAUCUGGUCAAAGAACAGUUUCAGGCGGGCAGUUUGACUGGGGCGGUCGCCUCCUAAACGGUAACGGAGACGUACAAAGGUUUCCUCUGAACGGUUAGAAAUCGUAUCUAGAGUGUAAAGGCAUAAGGAAGCUUGACUGUGAGACCUACAAGUCGAGCAGGGACGAAAGUCGGUCUUAGUGAUCUGACGGUACUGAGUGGAAAGGCCGUCACUCAACGGAUAAAAGUUACUCUAAGGAUAACAGGCUGAUCUCCCCCAAGAGUUCACAUCGACGGGGAGGUUUGGCACCUCGAUGUCGGCUCAUCGCAUCCUGGGGCGGUAGUACGUCCCAAGGGUUGGGCUGUUCGCCCAUGAAAGCGGUACGCGAGCUGGGUUCAGAACGUCGAGAGACAGUUCGGUCCAUAUCCGGUGUAGGCGUUAGAAUAUUGAGAGGAGCCUUCUUUAGUACGAGAGGACCGAGAAGGACAUACCUCUGGUGUACCAGUUAUCGUGCCUACGGUAAACGCUGGGUAGCUAUGUAUGGAGUGGAUAACCGCUGAAAGCAUCUAAGUGGGAAGCCCACCUCAAGAUAAGUAUUCUCAC
rnacentral:rRNA from 1 species